ensembl:lncRNA
GCCUCAGGCAGUGGGGGGUUUUCAGGCACCAUUUCUGAGCUCAGCCUGUGCUGGGUACCCACUCUGUACCCAGCCUCCACCCCACCCCAACACACACACACACGCACACAUAUCCUUCCACGGAAAAGUGUAAAUUGUUUGCUGUUUGGCCAACAGCCCAUCUGGGUAACAUUUUUACAAUGUACAACAUGUUUGCACUUAGGUCUUCUCUGAUCCUUGCUAUAAUCCCGUGGGGUAAUAGGGCCAGAAGAGGAGACCAGGGCUCAGACAAGGCUGUUUCCUAUCUUUCAGCUUUUUUACCCUGUUUCACAUGGUCAGUGCCUGAAGUGAAGGUCGGUCAUCUGAUACAUAGCUGCUCUGCUCAGGGUUCUAGACCUGGAGGUGCCUCACGCCCUCACAUCUCCCAGCAGCCCUGCAUGAUCUGUUUCACACUGAGGACAGUGAGGCUCAGGGAGGUCAGGCAACCCCAUCGAGCUUACCCAGUGACGAGCUUACCCAGUGACGAGCUUACCCAGUGACGGGCAGACAGUCUCCUAGCCCUGCUCCCCAGAGAGACAGGCUGUGCUUCUGUCUCAUGGAGACGCUAUAGGAAAUGUUGCUGUGACUUGGCAAAGAUGAAGGGUCCCCCUUUCUCAGGGAUGUGUGGUGGGGACAGAGCUGAACGAGGCCUCUAGUCCUCAGGGCAAGUUUGAGUUCAGAUCUCACCCUGAGGGGUGGUGCAGGGGAAGUGCUGGAGGGAGACAGACCUUCUGGGAAAGAAGGGUCCCAGGCCUAAAGAGAUGGGAAGACGAAGGAGACCAAUCAGCCCUCCGGCCACACCAGCAGGGCCUCUUUUAGCUCCUGCUUGUGGUCAGGGAUAACCUAUAGACACACUCUGGUCCCAGGGCCACAGAGUGGCCAUGUGGGGCCCCGAGCAGAUGCCUGAGCCAGUCAGGGGACCCCUACACCUGCCCAGGGAAGUGAGCCAGGUGUGAGGCAGGCCCCAUGCCAGGGAGGGUAUUAAAUGAGUUUCCAACUAAUUUGCAUGUCCUAAUUUCCCAUAAAAUGAGCCCCAGGGGCAGCAUUAAGCUGUCAGUUUCUACUUCCUUCCACUACUGCCACAAGGGCGCACACGGCCCCCCACAUUCCUGUAUCGCUUAGGCUCCACGAGUUCCCAUUUACCUGUCCCCUCACUAUCAGUAAAACACAGUCUCCAUCAUUUCCCCAGCAGGAGCCCAGAAGGGGAGGGAGAAAGAAAAACAAUGGGGCAGCAGGGGGACACAAAUGAAUCGACCCUAGUCUUUCAUCAGCAAAGCACGGGAUGGGGUGCGAGCUACAUGAGCCCUGUCAAGACCCAGGCGAAAUUCCGCCACAGGCAGCCAGCAUUCCAUUUAUUCUCCAUGCGUGGAUAAUGCGGGGAGGACGGGUUUUGUUGUUGUUCCUCUUGACUUGGCUUUGGAGUAAAUACGGGCAGUUUGUGGGGCGGUGUGAAAGCUCUAGCCUGCAAGUCAGUUGGAACUGCUUCAAUCCCAGCUCUGGCACCUGGACCCUGGGCAAGUCGCUCACCUUCUCUGAGCCUUCUCCGUGUAGAGUCAAGAGUAACAGCAGCCACUUCCUGAAUGUGGUCAGAAGGAAAUAAGAGCAUGAAGAUGCCAGUGCCCAGCACUUGUGAAUUUGUGGCAGCAAAUGUCACUAACUGCUUUGUCCUGGUCCAAGUUACACUGAGUUUUCAUUCCCUCGGAUCCUUUCUGGCUCACUGAUGGGUUAUGAGUUGCUUCUUCCUGC